AGUUUGUAUCUUGCAAUUUAGAUUUUUUUUUUUAAUUGCUAGAAAGAUGAUAAGUUGAAUUAUACCUUCUUUAUAUUUAUUCCAGAGCAGGAAAAAAUGGUUGAUGAAAGAGAAAAUUAGUUUUCUGUGAUAUUCAUCUCAGAUGUUCUGCUAACAUCUGACAAGCAGAAAGUCACAGAGUUGUAAUUAUGUAUUUUUUUUAUCAUGUUAAAUGCUUUUUUGCAUGGCAUUUUUUGCACAAAAAGAUUGCUUAUGCUAUUUUUAUGCUGUAAUAAUAUACUGGGGUCAUCUGGGGCCGGUACCAGCUUCGCAUGCUUGCGUAGUUUUCAAAUAGUGCCACAGAUUGUCAGGACUGAGAUCACAGCUUUGAGAAAACCAUUGUAACACAUUCAUUCAUUCAAACGUUUUGUUCUUGUUUCGCUCUGAUGUUAAUUUGGCCGUGUGUUUGUGAAGAUUAUCAUGACAGAAGAGCUGUGACAUGGACCUUCUGUUUAUAGCAGACUGAAACAGGUCCUUUUGCAGAAGCUAUUUAUGUUCUGCACCAUUCAUUCUUCUUUCUGUUUCAGGAUGUCCAGAUGAAAAACAUGAUGCAACCAAAGCCAAACAAAGGCUCUGCACAAUUGCUCAAGUAUAGGUCCUAUGUGAGUGGAGAUAGGAAGAUGGAGCGAGUGAAUGGGAUAAGGACAUCAUGACCCAGACAUCACAAACAGCGCUCGUGAAAACAGCCUUGAAAAGAGCCUCCAGGCUCACGGAUCUCUGCCAUGAGAAUGAGAAAAUGCUUCCUGAAAAGGUUCGUCGGCAGUAAACUUUCAUCCAAUUAGGGCACAGCGUUGAUGUUGGUCUCCCAUACAUGCCAAUGUGAAAAUUGCUAUUAGUCACAGUCCUAGUUUGUGUGCUUUCUGUGUGAUAUAAUCUCAGCACUCACAGCCCCAUCUUUACUCUAUUAAAUUGAAGUGUUCAAGGGAAACAAAACACUGAUGGCGGAGCGCUAC